GACAAGGAACUCAUUAAAAGACAAAGAGCAACCAGAUUGAGUCAACGGCAUAAAAUCCUUCCACUGAACCCUGUUGGAUUAGCAUUUGAGCUUACAAAGUCAAUUCCAUCUCAAAUCUCAGAUCUAUCACUCCUCCACUUACAGUGAAAAUGUCCAGGAAGUUUGCCAGCAACCAGCUCUGUAUAUCCACAACACAUUGCUAAGUAUGUUAGAAUCCCUGCAAUAACAUAAUAAAAAGAAGAUCUGGCUAUUUGCCCAUUUUACCCUGCUGCACCAUUUUGCAAUGUCAGGAUGGGAAAAUGCCACUUCCCAUGACUUGCUCCAAAUCCCUGGAUUCUCUUCAAAAUCCUAUUGAUAUCUGCCAAAAUCAGCAACUGAACUGCCACAAACUUCUUACAUAAAAAAAAUCCCAAAGAUUCAUUUCCCUCUGGGUAAAGAAGUUUCUUCUUUUGGUUUUGAUUGGUUGAGCCCUUACUUCAAGAUAGUUACCUCUGCGUUUAGACACCCAUCCCAGAAAAUUUCAUUCCUGGAUCUAUUGUCCACAUGUUUAAAUAAGAUCACCUCUCAUUCUUCUCAGGCCCAGCCUGCUUACUUUCCUUUUGUCAGACAAUCCCCCAAUCCCAAUAGUUAAUCCAGUGAAUCUUUGUUAAACUCCCUCUGACACAAGGAACCAACUUCCUUGGUUAAGUAGACCAGACCUGGACACAGUAUUCUAGUGUGGAGACUGUGGAAAUAUGUAUUGAACUUUGAAUUCUUUGUAACCAUUUGAUGUGGCAAAAUGGAGUUGUAUAAAUCCCAGAGUGUUAAGCUAAUAUGUUGCAAUAUAUAUAUGUCACUAAAGUAACAGGAAGAAACUACAAGAAAUGUGCUUAUUAAAGGAAUACAUGACUGCAAACAUGAAAUACACUGAACAUCGUGCAAAAAUAAGGAGUAACAGAGACGAGUCAACCACAGGCUACAACAAAUGUAUCAGAAGGAUUGAGAUUGCUGGAAAUAGUAACCUCGUCUCUUUCUUAUGUUUAAAAAUAACACUGUGUAAACAGUAUGUUGGAAAUCCCCCUACCAUCCCUGGUUAGAGUGAAGGUAAACUUUCCUCUUGUAAGUAAUAAAGAAUGAAAGUGCUUGAUAAAGAUCCAUUCAGUGUUGGUAUUGUGUUUUGUGAGACAUAGCAGAGAGAUACUCAAUGAGACAAAAUGCAGCAAAUGCUGGAACCUGUAGAAAAAUGAAACCAUCUUGAUAUGGGUUAUGAACCCAAACUUUUGACAAUUCUGUCUUCCCUCAUGGACGCUGCUCAACCCACUGAGUUCCCUGGCUGACUAUUUUUUUCUUGCUCCAAUAUUCCUGUGUGGUCUCCUGUAAAACUGUAGCAAGAAGUCCUUACUCAUGCACUCAAAGCUUCAUUGCUUUCAUAAUUGUUGUACAUUAAUUCUUAAUCCUUUUGUCAUUACAACUACACUGAUGGUUUAUUUUUGUACCUCAUGUUUUUCACCCAGCUUAGUAUCAUAAUAUUUGGAUAUAAUACACUGAGUCCUGCCAUCUAAACCAUUGAAAUUGAGCAUCUGGGAUCCUAGCAGCAAAUUCUGUGGUAGCCUACUGCUUCUCAGCUCAGGAAUGGCCUGUUUACUCCAGUUCACUGUUAUCUGCCUAUUAACCAUCCUUCUUUCUCACCAGUAUGCUAUUCCCAAUCACAAGUGGUUUAAUUUAUUUAAUAUCUCAUCAUUGGCCUUCUGAAGUUUGUAUAUAUAUAUCACAUCUACUAGUUCUCCUUUAUCCAUUCUGCUUGUUGCACACUCAAGAAAUAUUAAACAUGAUUUAUCCGCCAUAGAUCCAUGAUGACUCUGUCCAAAGGUUUUUCUUAAAAAAUUUUCUAAAGCUCUGUUACCAUACCCUUAAUGACCAAGUCCAACAUCUUCCUUACUUUUGACAUCAAACUAUUUGGUUUGCAGUUCCAGAAAUUUUCUCUCUCUGUCGUUUUAGCACUGAGGGUAGACUUGCUACAUUCCAACCAAUCUUUAAAUGAGUAUUAGGUAAAAUAAUCGUUUUGAGUAAUUAAUUGGACAGAACGCUAAUUUCUUUUAGUUAUCCAUUCACUCUAGACUUAUUUCUCUUAACUAUUUGCAGAAGGAUUUUUUUGUGUCAUUGAUAUUAAAUUCUUUCUGCCAUUUCCUUACUCCCCCUAUAAAUUUUCCUGUCUCAGUCAGCAAGGAACCCAGAUUAACUUUCGUAAAUCUUUUCCUUUUUAAAUAUCUAUAGAUGCUGACAGUCUAUUCUUAUGUUUCUCGCCACUUUACUGUCUUGCUCUACUUUCAUUUUCCUCAUUUCAUUCAUGGAUCUCAAACCUUACCAAUCCUCAGGCUUGUAUAUCUUUUUUCCAAAUUAAACUAAAUCACUUUAAAUCAUAGUCCAAAAUUGAAUGAUUUUAUGAUCACUAUUCACAAAAGAUUCCUUAGCUCCCACAUUAUUAAUUAACCUUUUCUGAAGGUAUAUUUCCAGAUUGAAAUUAGCAAAAUUAUAACACCUUUUUGAUUGUUGUGUAUUUAAUAUUUGAGUAAUAUUUUAAAAAUGCUGUAUUGUUUAAUUUUCUUGUUUACAUAGUGUAUUGUGAGUUACAUGUAAGAGUACGUAAAGGGCAAAUGCAGUACACCACCACAUCAUAUGUGCAUGCCUCACUUAAAGUAAAAGCAAAGUUAGACUUGCAAUUCAACUGCUUUGUUUUUCCUUCCAACUAGUAUGUUUUACAGUUGUAGGACAUGGCAGUGACAGCAAGGAAGUUCUGAACAGAUCCAAGAUGUCUACUUAGCUGAUGAAGCACAGUGAGUCACUCGAGAUUUAAAAAAAUGCGAGAAACGGUCAAGUAAAAAACUAACAGCACAAAACAUGCUUCUUUGGGAAAUGACAUAAUCAUUCAAGAUGGACAAAUCCAUGUGCUCAGGAACAGUAAGUUCCGGGCGAUAAUAAACAUCGAUAAAAUAAAAGAGCAGAAGUGGCCGGCUACAUCUGAUAGAUUCAUUUGAUUUCACAAGAGAUAACUGGGUCAUAUAUGCAGAACAAAUUGAGCAAUAUUCUGAAGCAAAUGAAAUCACCAAUGAAAAGCAAGUGCCAGUUUUCAUGAGUGCAUUAAGUGGAAGAGUGCGUUAGGUUAGACUGCUCCAACUAAACCAGCUGAAAUAAGCUUUGCUGAUAUCAUGAAAGUAAUACAGGAACAUUGAGAACCAAAACCAUUGUUGAUUGAAGAAUGCUUCAGGUUUCAUAUGCAGAAUCAAAAGGAAGGGGAAUCCACUUCAGCAUACAGUAUGUGGCUGAAUUGACAAGAUUGUCUAAGCAUUGUCAGUUCAGACAAUGAUGCAUGAGGAUUGUUUAGUCUGUGGAAUCUUACAAGAAAACAUUCAAAAACGGCUCAUAACUGAAGCACAGCUUACAUUUAAAAGAGUGGUCAGAAUAGCUGUAUCAAUGGAAACAGCAGGCAGAGACACAGUUGAGUUGUAGUCAGAAACGAAGUGCAAACAAAAUUGCAAAGUCCAAGCUGAAACCAGCCUGGCUGAACAAAUUCUAUUAUCUUUGUGGCAGGGUUCACAUAUAGAAGACCAACGCCGAUUUAAAGGUGAAAUUUGCAGAAGAUACAACAAAGUAGCAUGUCAGGCAAACAACAAUAAAUGGACUGCACAGGGAAGAGAAAAAGAUAAAAAGUCAAGUUGCAAUUUCAAAACGAGCACUAAUCUGCAUGAGAGUGACGCUGGACUGCGUAGCCUUUAGAUUUCCAAUGUGAAAACUAAUAGAAAAGCAAUAUGGAUUAUAUCAGAAGUGAACAAAUUAAUUAAAAUAGAAUGGACACUUGCUAGUUUGUUUCAGACAUUCCACAAAAUGAGUUUGAGUGACAUCUCAAAGAUGCAGAAUUGAAGGCUCAGAUAUUUGACUAAGAACUUGUACUGGAGAAAGGAUAAUUCCUGUGGGAAUGACAUUUGUAACAGUGAAAUACAACAGUGAAAGCCACAUUGGCUUGUAUGUGAUGGGGAUAAGAGGGCCAGCAUUGUAAGGGUGUGAUUGGCUGAGGCAGCAACAGCUUGAUUGGUGAUCAAUCCACCAUUUGCAUGCAAUAGAAUCAACUGCAAGUGAAUUAAGAAAGGUACUGGAUGGUGCCACAACUGUCUCCAUGCUGUACACCAUGAACCAAUGCCCAACAGAGGACAAACAGGUGUUGGUGCCAGUCUCUGUGCCUUGGAUUGGAAAGCACAUUGGACCCCCAAGAAAGACUAUGCUGCUCAGAGGAAUUGUGAAAGUGGCAGAAGUAGUGGUCCGACUACAACAGUUUUCGUAGGCAACAUGUCUGAGAAAGCUUCUGAUAUGUUAAUCGAGCAGUUUUUUACGAAAUAUGGCUUGGUUUUAAGCUGGAAGAUAGUUCAAGGAGCUUCAGGAAAAUUGCAAACAUUCAGCUUUUGUGAGUAUAAAGAACCAAAAUCUACUCUGUGUGCAUUAAGGUUCUUGCAUGAACUUCAAGUGGGAGACAAAACACUGUUUGUGAAAAUAGAUGCAAAGAGCAAAUCCCAGCUGGAUGAAUGAAAGGCUAAAAUGAAAGGAGUCAAUGAAAAAAUGAAGACAAAGGAUUGGUCUGAUGAUGUUGUGGAUGAGGAAACCAAGAGGUGAGAUCAGAUUCUAAAGGAAGCAAGAAAAGGGUUAAUAAGAGAACACUCCACUGAAUUAAAUAGAUCUUCUCAAGAUCAAGAUACACAAACUAAAAGAAAAAAAAGGAAGGUGUGAAUGAGACAAAGAAUGGGAGAAAGAAAAAGUAGUGGAAACAAGAGCAUGUGAUCGGGACCAAGACUAAGAUAGGAAUCAUGAGAGAACAAAUAAUAAGGAUAGGGAGAGUGACCAAGAAAGGAAUUGAGAGUGGGAUAAAGAGAGAAAGAAGCCAGGACUGGAAGAGAAGCAAGGAUCAAACUAGUUCUUGAGAAAAAAAACAAGAAAAGGAGAAGAAAGGUUUACAAAGCUGACUCCCUGCAGUCUCAGAGCCACCACCACAGAGAAAGCCCCAGGGUUUUGCAGCCACAGUUCUCGUCUAUCAGGCAGAGUGGUCCCUCUUGUCAGGAGAGACUUUGUCCCACAGGAGUAGGUAAGCCUCCAUAUUAAUCCUUAAGCCUGAAUGGGACAAUUCAAAAUCUACUAUGUUGUGGAUGUUGAUAUUGUAUAGUUGUAUUAUAUAGUAUGCUCUAUAUAGUGUGUGUACAGUAUAGAAAUUGAGAUGUAUUCUAUAUUCAGUUGGAAUUUCCAGCUAAACAGGGAGCAGCAUUGUGUAUUCAAUGUAUCAGUAAUAUUUGAAUAAUAUGUUAAAUAUAUUGUUUAUUAACUAUUCCUUGUUGCUUACAUAAUGCACUGUGGGCUAUAUGUAAAUGUACAUAAAUGGCAUACCUCGUUGUGCCACCACUUCAUACAUGCGUGCCUUGCUUAAAGUAAAAACAAAACUAACAUAUGUUAUUCCUGGCAUCAUUACUAUCACCUUGACCUUUCUCUUUAACUUCCUAAGUUCUCCAGAUCAGAGCUCUAUCUUCCUGCCCAGUUACUAUUCAGUUUAAAGCUUAUUUACAACUGUAGUUAUACAGUUUGCAAGGACACUGGCCCCUGUCUGAUUCAAGUAAAGUCUUUUCCGAUGGAUCAUUACUUUCUGUCCUCAGUACAGGUUCCAGUUCCCUGUGAAUUGAAAGCCAUUCAACAUAGAGCUUAUUAAAUAUUACAGCACAGAACAGGCCCUUCAACCCAUGAUGUUGUGCCAACAUUUUAACCUAUUCUGAGGACAAUGUAACGCUUCCCUCCUACAUAGCCCUCCAUUAUUCUUUCAUCCAUGUGCCUUUUUACAAGUUCUUUCAACGUUCCUCAUGUAUCUGCCUCUACCUCCAACUCUGGCAGUACAUUCCAUGCACUCACCACUUUCUAUAUAAAAAACCCAUUCUUUCCUCCAAUCACCUUAAAAUUAUACCCUGUUGUAUCAGCCAUUUCCACCCUGGCAAAAAGUCUCUGGCUGUCCAUUCAGUCUAUACCUCUUAUCAUCUUGUGGCCCUCUAUCAAGUCAUCUCUUGUCCUCCUUCACUUCCCCACCAGGUCCUGAACCAUAUAGUCACCUCCCUGAUCUUACUGACCCCAUGCCAAUUUGUACACAGUGCUGGUGGUACCGUUGUGCCACAUUGACCAUGACAGUAAUGAGCUCUUCAGACCUGUGCAGAGAGCCUGACAUCAUUGGGCUCUAAGGUUUUCAGAGCUCUUGCAUUGGUUCGUCGUUGCUUAAUCAUUUAUAGUUCCUCGCGCUGUUCUCGAGUGACUCGCCCUUCGUAAUGUGGUCUCCUGGUACUUUCUGUUUAAACUUCAGUUUAUUUUGAUAGGCUUGGGGAUUGUAUUACUUAAACAGACACCCGAUUAGCGGGCCCUCGUUCUGAGAAUGUUACUUUUUGUAUUAUGCCUCGGCCAAGCCACCUAUGUUCUUUUGGAAUUAUUAUGAAUAAACUUUGCUCCAUCUCUACAUCAGAACCUGUCUUUCCUCCACACUUAGGUCCUGAUAUUGCCAGUGCACAUCAUGACAAUGACAACCCAACCUUUUGCCCUUCCUCUCUAAAGUCCUCUCCAAUCUUUAAUGCAGGCAACACAGACUGGGACUCAUGCUCACAGUGAGCAUUACCUAUCCCCAAACCAUACUGUCCACAUCCCUAAUCCGAGUGGAGUGUCCAUCCAUCCUGCUAAGUCUGGUCUUGGCAAAGGCUUCAACACACACAAAGGCGGAGGUUAUUGCAAUGUUACCUGCUGGAUACUCAUACCUGCCUCUCAGAUGCAGCUUUGCUGACUGACCAUCUCUGCAGUACUGCAUCUGCCCCUUAGACAACAUGUCAAGGUACCCGUUCCCCUCCUUGAUGCAUUCCAGUAGCUAAAUCUCCAAAUCGUCAAAUCUGAUCCAAACUUCUUCUGGUGUGAUUGCCAUGGAUCACAUUACUGUCUAUCAACUCCAAUAUCGAGUGGUUGCCACACAUCCCCUGUCUUAAUUGAAAUAACCAUUUUAAAAAUAAGCAUUUGCUCUUCUUUCACUGAAAUCCCUUACUCCACAAAUAUUCAUAUUCUGAUUUAUUUAUCACGUACAUUGGAACAGGGGGCUCUGGAUCAAGGAGGUACCUUUGAUGCACUCUACCUCGUAGGGUGGACCGGCCUCUGGUCCUCAUCUCCUACCUCUCUCACACCAGCCUCCAAGUGGCGCAACCUGGUUCACCGCUUCAGCCGGUGUGCUAAAUGACAUGAGGGCAGACACCCCACCCUGCAAAAACUCAUUUCGGGGAGGUAACACCCCCCCCCAGUCGACCUCCAAGAGUGUAUGUAAAACUUUGUUUAGUGAUUUUGUCUAAUCUGUAAACCAAGUUGGGUAUAUGCAGAAAAUGUGACAUUAAAAUAUGUGCUUAUAUUAUCAUGGAGUCAUUUUUAUUCAAUUACAACUUUAAGCAAGUCUACAGCGAGUUUGGCCUCAUUAUGUAGGACAUCAAUGGAGUAGCUUAGCAGCUGGCCAGCUAGUUUAAAUAACAUUAGCUUUGCUAAUAAAUGAAUGACACCUGUUAAACGCACCUCAACAUGACUUUUACAGUCAUUUAACCCACCAUGGGCAAUAGAAAAGUCACUGACAUUAAUUUUGAGAUUGACUGUAAAGCCCGCCCACAGAGAAAACUGAUAGGUCUACUUAGCAUGAAGGGAGACCAAUCAGGAUGCUCCCCCUCCCCCUUCCUCUCCCUCUCAAAAAAAUCAAUUUCCGGGAUAUUGUAUAUAAUUUGCGGGUGUCAGGGAGCCGCGAUCAAUAUGUGGGAGACUCGGAACUGCCGGGAGAGGUGGGAUGUCUGUGAGGGGCUGGAAGUAACACGGCCCCACUGGGUGAAGGACAAAGUCACCAACCAUGGUUGUUGAGUUCCCCGAAGAGGAAACACAACAGCCACAUGUUUGAGACCAGGACGAGACACUGAGUUGGAGGACGUCAGCUGUGGUCUGGCCUGGAGAGGGAUGGUGUCACUAGGCCUCACUAGCCCAGGACACGCAAAAGCACCCCUAUGACCCAUAAAAAACGUUGCAGUACCCAAACUGAACAUUGAAACAUAGUGAAAUGAGUCGUUUGCGUUAACAAGCAACACAGCCAAGGGUGGGCUGGGGGCAGCCCGCAAGUGUCGCCACUCAUUCCACGCGUCGAGCGGGCAGCGGAGUCCGUGGAAGCAGAGUCCUGGGCUUUGGCUAAGUGGGCUUCGGCAUAAGGGGACUUCGGUAAGGCUGUGUGAUUGCUCGCUGAGGGGAAGAAGGUAAGGUCGCUAGGUGCUUUUUAGACAUUCUAUUAAUUCAGUUCAGGUAUGGGGGAGACAGUCAGAGCAGUGGUGUGCUCCGUAUGCAGUAUGUGGGAAGUCAGGGUCAACACAGUUGUCCCUGAUGACCACACCUGCAAGAGGUGCGUCCAGCUGCAGCUCCUAUCAGCCCGAGUUAGGGAAUUGGAGCUGGAGCUGGAUGAACUAUGGAUCAUUCAGGAGGCAGAGGCAGAGACAGAUAGGAGUUAUCAGGAGGUAGUCACACCAAAGAACCAAGAUUUAGGCAGAUGGGUGACGGUCCAGAGAGGCGGGGGAGCAGGCAGAGAGAGCAGAGCACUCCUGCGGCCAUUCCCAUUAACAAUAAGUAUACCGUACUGGAUACUGUUGAUGGGGAUGACCUACCAGGAAUGAGUUGCAGUGGUCCUGCCUCUGGCACAGAGGUUGAACCCUCAACUAGAAAGGGGAGGAGGGAAGAGAAGAGAGCGAUAGUUUUAGGGGAUUCAAUAGUUAGGGGGGCAGAUAGGAGAUUUUGUGGGGCAGAUCGGGAGUCUCGGAUGGUAUGUUACCUCCCUGGUGCCAGGGUCCGGGACAUCUCAGAUCGGGUGCAAGCUAUUCUUGAGAAUGAGGGCAUGAACCCAGAUGUAGUGGUCCAUGUAGGGACCAAUGAUGUAGGUAAGGUGAGUGAGGGGGUCCUGCUUAGAGAGUUCAGGGAGUUAGGAGAGAAGCUGAAAGGCAGGACCUCCAGGGUGACAAUCUCGGGAUUGCUACCUGUGCCACGUGCGAGUGAGGCGAAGAAUAGAAUGAUUAUGCCCAUUAAUACGAGGCUGAGAGCAUGGUGCAGGAAGGAAGGGUUCAGGUUUUUGGAUAAUUGGUCUUUGUUCCAGGGACAUUGGGAUCUGUUUCGAAGGGACGGUCUACAUCUGAACCGGAGGGGUACUAACAUUCUUGCAGGAGUGUUUGCCAGUGCUGCUCGGGGAGGUUUAAACUAGAUGUGCAGGGGGCAGGGAUCCAGAUCCAGAGGGUUGGUCAGAAGGAGCAUGGGAUUAAAUGUGUAGAAGGUUUGGGUAAUCUUGAGAAGGUCAUCAAAAUUCAGGGUGCAAUUAGCCCGAUGGAAGUUCAAGGAGCUGGGUUAGGUACAGUAGACAGUCUUUUAAGCAAAGAAAGGAGGAAUGGGCUAAGAAUUCUAUACUUGAAUGCACGUAGUGUCAGAAAUAAGGCAGAUGAGCUUGAAGCUCAGAUGAAAAUGGGGAACUACGAUAUUGUUGGGAUAACAGAGACAUGGCUGCAAGGGGAUCAGGCCUGGGAAUUGAGUGUACCAGGGUAUACGUGCUAUCGUAGAGACAGAAAUAUGGGAAGAGGGGGUGGGGUGGCCCUGUUGGUAAGGAAUGAGAUUCAGUCCUUAGCAAGAGGUGACUUGGGAACAGGGGAAGUAGAGUCUGUGUGGAUUGAGCUGAGGAACAGCAAGGGUAAAAAGACCCUAAUGGGUGUUGUGUACAGGCCCCCAAACAGUAGCGUGGAUAUUGGGUACAAGUUGAUUAGGGAGUUAACAUUGGCAUGUGCUAAAGGUAAUGUAGUCGUUAUGGGAGAUUUCAACAUGCAGGUGAACUGGGAGAAUCAGGUAGGUGCUGGACCCCAGGAUAGGGAGUUUGUGGAGUGUCUAAGGGAUGUAUUUUUGGAACAGCUUGUGCUUGAGCCAACCAGGAACGAGGCUAUUUUGGACUUGGUGAUGUGUAAUGAACAGGAAUUGAUAAGUGAUCUUGAAGUAAAGGAGCCAUUAGGAAGUAGUGAUCAUAACAUGAUAAGUUUUUAUGUACAAUUUGAGAGGGAUAAGGGCAGAUCAGAGGUGUCAGUGUUGCAAUUAAAUAAAGGAGACUACGGAGCCAUGAGGGAAGAGCUGACCAAAGUUAAAUGGGCGGAUGCCCUGGCAGGAAAGACAGUGGAUCAGCAGUGGCAGAUAUUCUUGGGCAUAAUACAAAAGAUGCAAAAGCAGUUCAUUCCAAUGAGAAGGAAGGAUUCAAAGAGGGGGAAAGGGGCCACAGUGGUUGACAAAGGAAGUCAGAGAUUGUAUAGCAUUAAAGAAAAAGAAGUAUGACAGGGCUAAGAUGAGUGGGAAUACAGAUGAUUGGGAAAGUUUUAAGGAGCAGCAGAUCUUAACUAAAAAAGCAAUACGGAGAGAAAAAAUCAGAGAUUGUAUAGCAUUAAAGAAAAAGAAGUAUGACAGGGCUAAGAUGAGUGGGAAUACAGAUGAUUGGGAAAGUUUU